rnacentral:rRNA from 1 species
UACGUAGGGUCCGAGCGUUGUCCGGAGUUACUGGGCGUAACGCGCGCGCAGGCGGCGGUGCUGGCCCGGCGUGAAAGCCCCCGGCUCAACCGGGGAGAGUCGUCGGGGACCGCACCGCUUGAGGGCGGUAGGGGCUGGUGGAAUGCCUGGUGUAGUGGUGAAAUGCGUAGAGAUCAGGCAGAACACCUGGGGCGAAGGCGGCCAGCUGGGCCGUCCCUGACGCUGAGGCGCGAAGGCGUGGGGAGCGAACGGG